AAGCUCGCCUUACAGCAAUUACUCUGAAUUUUUCUCCAAAAAAAAACCCUUCGCGAGUUG
rnacentral:sRNA from 16 species